AGGAAAAAAAUAUCGUAAGUCUUGUGAUAUGUAACCACAAGACUUGGCAAUACUUCAUUUUCCUUCAAAUUUAGCAUCUUUUCAUACAUAGGUUUUAUCAGAUUUCUUUUGCUUGAGGAAGCAGCCUGGAGCUUUGAUUUUGCUGGGUAUAAUAUAGGAAAAAAGAAGAAAGGAAUAAUUGGCCAUUGCUCCAAUUGGGAAAUGUAAUUUUUUCUCUCAGCCCAUCAGUGAGUCAAUGAUGGCUGGAUGGAGCAGCUUGCUCUUGUGACCAGAUGGAGGAAACCUGGAACUGGGAUGUGUAAUCUGAGAGCUCUUUUCGGUGAAGAGACAGGAAGCAUUAACUGGAGCGAAGUGUUCAGAAAAGAGUACUUCAAAAAGCCUUGAAAACUGGCCUGGAGACUUUCAUGCAGACGGACUUGGACACUACAUCUUUGCUCAGAAUCUACUUAAGUCCUGGAGUUGCUUAGAAGGGAUGGGAAAACUGCCUGAUAUCCACAGUAUCCCUUGUUUAGCUUUGCCCACCCAGUGUAGCAAUUCCAAUCCACCAGUCACUGUUGGUGGAUUUUCCAGGACACAAAGAAAAGCCAGCAGUGGUUGUUAGAGGGUCUGUCUGUGAUCUCCUAGUGUGGAGCACAGGCAUGGUGUGGUUUCCACUGCUCAGUCUGUCAGAUUCAUGACACCAAAGUGUCAGCCCCUGGGUGUUGCCUUGAUGCAGACUGGAUCUUCUUGGCUGAGGUUGGAGGAUAUCGAAUACCUGGAUAUCCUCAUGCUUACAGGAUAUUAAAGGACUGAUCUAUAAGCAAAACGCCACUCAGGUUCUCAGAUUUCAAGAAAAGCCACUAUAGCACUUGAUGGAAGCACUGAAUACAUUCCCAUUGCUUUCACCCUGUUCCUGUGGAGGAGGCGAAUGGAUAGCACAUCCAGCAUUUCAAGUGGCUGCUAAUAUGACAUGUACAACUUCAGACAUUUAUGCAAGCACC